GAUGAACGCUGGCGGCGUGCCUAAUACAUGCAAGUCGAGCGAACAGACGAGGAGCUUGCUCCUCUGACGUUAGCGGCGGACGGGUGAGUAACACGUGGAUAACCUACCUAUAAGACUGGGAUAACUUCGGGAAACCGGAGCUAAUACCGGAUAAUAUAUUGAACCGCAUGGUUCAAUAGUGAAAGACGGUUUUGCUGUCACUUAUAGAUGGAUCCGCGCCGCAUUAGCUAGUUGGUAAGGUAACGGCUUACCAAGGCGACGAUGCGUAGCCGACCUGAGAGGGUGGUCGGCCACACUGGAACUGAGACACGGUCCAGGCUCCUGCGGGAGGCAGCAGUAGGGAAUCUUCCGCAGAGGGCGGAAGCCUGACGGAGCAGCGCCGCGUGAGUGAUGAAGGUCUUCGGAUCGUAAAACUCUGUUAUUAGGGAAGAACAAAUGUGUAAGUAACUAUGCACGUCUUGACGGUACCUAAUCAGAAAGCCACGGCUAACUACGUG
rnacentral:rRNA from 1 species